CUCACUAUGUAGUCCAGUCUGGCCUUGGACUCACUAUGUAGCUGAUGCUUAUCUUGACUUGUUGAGAUUCUCUGUCCUUAGCCCCCUGAGUGCCGGGAUUACAGAUAAAAGGAGACUAAGAGAAUAUACAAUUCUUGAUGAAAACCUUGGGUGACACACUGGCCUGCCUGCAUUACUCUCGGCUGCUUCCGGGGGGAGACUUUAAUAUGAAGAGAAAGGACAAGGGGCCACGCGGGACAAAGGGGGACUCUUAACUCCAGCCCUGAGGACCACGGGGGAAGAGGUGCAGGUACACCAGGA